UACUAGUUAGCCUAAAGAAUGAUGGCAAUAAAAGGAAGUCAAGGAUCUUUUGAAUAUGCGCAUUUUGGAAGAUUCUAGACCUGCCAAGACUUAUGCCAACAACCACUGGACUUGAUCAGUACAAGAAAGAUACAUCAACUGAAAUGUCAAGUCUCAGAGGUAUUCAACUUAUCACUUUACUUAACUGCAAGUAGAUCACAUACUAUAUUUUCUAUAAGGUAUUACUUCAUUCAUGAGCAUGUCUAUCGUAUUUCUUGAAUGAAUUCAUGAGUAUUAAAUUGUCUAUACAUAGGACUUGUGAAUUUAUUUAAAAUCCAAUACCUCGUGCUUUUUGCUUUUCUAUGUGAUUGCCAUGUUUAUUGCUUUGCAUGCUUAGAUGGUGAUUAUAUGUUUUAGCAUGAGUGUUUGUUAUCUCAAUUAUUUAAAUUGUGCUGCAUGACAAUUAAGUGACUUAUUUGUUCAUGAUUUAAAUGAUUAGGGAUGACAUGAAGCAUGACUUAAUUAUGUUAUUUUUUCUUGAUCUAUACCUCUUCAA
rnacentral:lncRNA from 1 species